rnacentral:rRNA from 1 species
UACGUAGGGGGCAAGCGUUGUCCGGAAUCAUUGGGCGUAAAGAGCGUGUAGGCGGCCCGGUAAGUCCGCUGUGAAAGUCGGGGGCUCAACCCUCGAAUGCCGGUGGAUACUGUCGGGCUAGAGUGCGGAAGAGGCGAGUGGAAUUCCUGGUGUAGCGGUGAAAUGCGCAGAUAUCAGGAGGAACACCAAUGGCGAAGGCAGCUCGCUGGGACGGUACUGACGCUGAGACGCGAAAGCGUGGGGAGCAAACAGG